rnacentral:rRNA from 1 species
UUAAGCGACUAAGCGUACACGGUGGAUGCCCUGGCAGUCAGAGGCGAUGAAGGACGUGCUAAUCUGCGAUAAGCGUCGGUAAGGUGAUAUGAACCGUUAUAACCGGCGAUUUCCGAAUGGGGAAACCCAGUGUGAUUCGUCACACUAUCAUUAACUGAAUCCAUAGGUUAAUGAGGCGAACCGGGGGAACUGAAACAUCUAAGUACCCCGAGGAAAAGAAAUCAACCGAGAUUCCCCCAGUAGCGGCGAGCGAACGGGGAGCAGCCCAGAGCCUGAAUCAGUGUGUGUGUUAGUGGAAGCGUCUGGAAAGGCGCGCGAUACAGGGUGACAGCCCCGUACACAAAAAUGCACAUACUGUGAGCUCGAUGAGUAGGGCGGGACACGUGGUAUCCUGUCUGAAUAUGGGGGGACCAUCCUCCAAGGCUAAAUACUCCUGACUGACCGAUAGUGAACCAGUACCGUGAGGGAAAGGCGAAAAGAACCCCGGCGAGGGGAGUGAAAAAGAACCUGAAACCGUGUACGUACAAGCAGUGGGAGCCUCUUAAUGGGGUGACUGCGUACCUUUCGUAUAAUGGGUCAGCGACUUAUAUUCUGUAGCAAGGUUAACCGAAUAGGGGAGCCGAAGGGAAACCGAGUCUUGACUGGGCGUUAAGUUGCAGGGUAUAGACCCGAAACCCGGUGAUCUAGCCAUGGGCAGGUUGAAGGUUGGGUAACACUAACUGGAGGACCGAACCGACUAAUGUUGAAAAAUUAGCGGAUGACUUGUGGCUGGGGGUGAAAGGCCAAUCAAACCGGGAGAUAGCUGGUUCUCCCCGAAAGCUAUUUAGGUAGCGCCUCGUGAAUUCAUCUCCGGGGGUAGAGCACUGUUUCGGCAAGGGGGUCAUCCCGACUUACCAACCCGAUGCAAACUGCGAAUACCGGAGAAUGUUAUCACGGGAGACACACGGCGGGUGCUAACGUCCGUCGUGAAGAGGGAAACAACCCAGACCGCCAGCUAAGGUCCCAAAGUCAUGGUUAAGUGGGAAACGAUGUGGGAAGGCCCAGACAGCCAGGAUGUUGGCUUAGAAGCAGCCAUCAUUUAAAGAAAGCGUAAUAGCUCACUGGUCGAGUCGGCCUGCGCGGAAGAUGUAACGGGGCUAAACCAUGCACCGAAGCUGCGGCAGCGACGCUUAUGCGUUGUUGGGUAGGGGAGCGUUCUGUAAGCCUGCGAAGGUGUGCUGUGAGGCAUGCUGGAGGUAUCAGAAGUGCGAAUGCUGACAUAAGUAACGAUAAAGCGGGUGAAAAGCCCGCUCGCCGGAAGACCAAGGGUUCCUGUCCAACGUUAAUCGGGGCAGGGUGAGUCGACCCCUAAGGCGAGGCCGAAAGGCGUAGUCGAUGGGAAACAGGUUAAUAUUCCUGUACUUGGUGUUACUGCGAAGGGGGGACGGAGAAGGCUAUGUUGGCCGGGCGACGGUUGUCCCGGUUUAAGCGUGUAGGCUGGUUUUCCAGGCAAAUCCGGAAAAUCAAGGCUGAGGCGUGAUGACGAGGCACUACGGUGCUGAAGCAACAAAUGCCCUGCUUCCAGGAAAAGCCUCUAAGCAUCAGGUAACAUCAAAUCGUACCCCAAACCGACACAGGUGGUCAGGUAGAGAAUACCAAGGCGCUUGAGAGAACUCGGGUGAAGGAACUAGGCAAAAUGGUGCCGUAACUUCGGGAGAAGGCACGCUGAUAUGUAGGUGAAGCGACUUGCUCGUGGAGCUGAAAUCAGUCGAAGAUACCAGCUGGCUGCAACUGUUUAUUAAAAACACAGCACUGUGCAAACACGAAAGUGGACGUAUACGGUGUGACGCCUGCCCGGUGCCGGAAGGUUAAUUGAUGGGGUUAGCGGUAACGCGAAGCUCUUGAUCGAAGCCCCGGUAAACGGCGGCCGUAACUAUAACGGUCCUAAGGUAGCGAAAUUCCUUGUCGGGUAAGUUCCGACCUGCACGAAUGGCGUAAUGAUGGCCAGGCUGUCUCCACCCGAGACUCAGUGAAAUUGAACUCGCUGUGAAGAUGCAGUGUACCCGCGGCAAGACGGAAAGACCCCGUGAACCUUUACUAUAGCUUGACACUGAACAUUGAGCCUUGAUGUGUAGGAUAGGUGGGAGGCUUUGAAGUGUGGACGCCAGUCUGCAUGGAGCCGACCUUGAAAUACCACCCUUUAAUGUUUGAUGUUCUAACGUUGGCCCCUAAUCGGGGUUGCGGACAGUGUCUGGUGGGUAGUUUGACUGGGGCGGUCUCCUCCUAAAGAGUAACGGAGGAGCACGAAGGUUGGCUAAUCCUGGUCGGACAUCAGGAGGUUAGUGCAAUGGCAUAAGCCAGCUUGACUGCGAGCGUGACGGCGCGAGCAGGUGCGAAAGCAGGUCAUAGUGAUCCGGUGGUUCUGAAUGGAAGGGCCAUCGCUCAACGGAUAAAAGGUACUCCGGGGAUAACAGGCUGAUACCGCCCAAGAGUUCAUAUCGACGGCGGUGUUUGGCACCUCGAUGUCGGCUCAUCACAUCCUGGGGCUGAAGUAGGUCCCAAGGGUAUGGCUGUUCGCCAUUUAAAGUGGUACGCGAGCUGGGUUUAGAACGUCGUGAGACAGUUCGGUCCCUAUCUGCCGUGGGCGCUGGAGAACUGAGGGGGGCUGCUCCUAGUACGAGAGGACCGGAGUGGACGCAUCACUGGUGUUCGGGUUGUCAUGCCAAUGGCACUGCCCGGUAGCUAAAUGCGGAAGAGAUAAGUGCUGAAAGCAUCUAAGCACGAAACUUGCCCCGAGAUGAGUUCUCCCUGACUCCCUGAGAGUCCUGAAGGAACGUUGAAGACGACGACGUUGAUAGGCCGGGUGUGUAAGCGCAGCGAUGCGUUGAGCUAACCGGUACUAAUGAACCGUGAGGCUUAACCUU